GAUGAACGCUGGCGGCGUGCUUAACACAUGCAAGUCGAACGUGAGGAUAGCAAUAUUUGAAAGUGGCAAACGGGUGAGUAACACGUGGGAACCUGCCUCGAAGUGGGGGAUAACGAUUGGAAACGGUCGCUAAUACCGCACGGUUCUGCUCUGAUGGGAAUGGAGCAGAUAAAGAUUUAUCGCUUUGAGAGGGGCCCGCGGCCGAUUAGCUAGUUGGUAAGGUAAAGGCUUACCAAGGCGAUUAUCGGUAGCUGGUCUGAGAGGACGAUCAGCCACACGGGAACUGAGACACGGUCCCGACUCCUACGGGGGGCAGCAGUGAGGAAUAUUGGGCAAUGGGCGAAAGCCUGACCCAGCAACGCCGCGUGGAGGAUGAAGGCUUUAGGGUUGUAAACUCCUUUUGUGGGGAAAAGAAUGGAUGGUACCCCAAGAAUAAGUCACGGCUAACUACGUG
rnacentral:rRNA from 1 species